rnacentral:rRNA from 1 species
AGCGUACACGGUGGAUGCCCUGGCAGUCAGAGGCGAUGAAGGACGUGCUAAUCUGCGAAAAGCGUCGGUAAGGUGAUAUGAACCGUUAUAACCGGCGAUGUCCGAAUGGGGAAACCCAGUGUGAUUCGUCACACUAUCGUUAACUGAAUACAUAGGUUAACGAGGCGAACCGGGGGAACUGAAACAUCUAAGUACCCCGAGGAAAAGAAAUCAACCGAGAUUCCCCCAGUAGCGGCGAGCGAACGGGGAGCAGCCCAGAGUCUGAAUCAGCUUGUGUGUUAGUGGAACGGUCUGGAAAGUCCGACGGUACAGGGUGAUAGUCCCGUACACCAAAAUGCACAGGUUGUGAACUCGAAGAGUAGGGCGGGACACGUGGUAUCCUGUCUGAAUAUGGGGGGACCAUCCUCCAAGGCUAAAUACUCCUGACUGACCGAUAGUGAACCAGUACCGUGAGGGAAAGGCGAAAAGAACCCCGGCGAGGGGAGUGAAAAAGAACCUGAAACCGUGUACGUACAAGCAGUGGGAGCACCUUUAUGGUGUGACUGCGUACCUUUUGUAUAAUGGGUCAGCGACUUAUAUUCUGUAGCAAGGUUAACCGUAUAGGGGAGCCGCAGGGAAACCGAGUCUUAACUGGGCGUUAAGUUGCAGGGUAUAGACCCGAAACCCGGUGAUCUAGCCAUGGGCAGGUUGAAGGUUGGGUAACACUAACUGGAGGACCGAACCGACUAAUGUUGAAAAAUUAGCGGAUGACUUGUGGCUGGGGGUGAAAGGCCAAUCAAACCGGGAGAUAGCUGGUUCUCCCCGAAAGCUAUUUAGGUAGCGCCUCGUGAACUCAUCUUCGGGGGUAGAGCACUGUUUCGGCUAGGGGGUCAUCCCGACUUACCAACCCGAUGCAAACUACGAAUACCGAAGAAUGUUAUCACGGGAGACACACGGCGGGUGCUAACGUCCGUCGUGAAGAGGGAAACAACCCAGACCGCCAGCUAAGGUCCCAAAGUCAUGGUUAAGUGGGAAACGAUGUGGGAAGGCACAGACAGCCAGGAUGUUGGCUUAGAAGCAGCCAUCAUUUAAAGAAAGCGUAAUAGCUCACUGGUCGAGUCGGCCUGCGCGGAAGAUGUAACGGGGCUAAACCAUGCACCGAAGCUGCGGCAGCGACACUAUGUGUUGUUGGGUAGGGGAGCGUUCUGUAAGCCUGCGAAGGUGUGCUGUGAGGCAUGCUGGAGGUAUCAGAAGUGCGAAUGCUGACAUAAGUAACGAUAAAGCGGGUGAAAAGCCCGCUCGCCGGAAGACCAAGGGUUCCUGUCCAACGUUAAUCGGGGCAGGGUGAGUCGACCCCUAAGGCGAGGCCGAAAGGCGUAGUCGAUGGGAAACAGGUUAAUAUUCCUGUACUUGGUGUUACUGCGAAGGGGGGACGGAGAAGGCUAUGUUAGCCGGGCGACGGUUGUCCCGGUUUAAGCAUGUAGGCUGAUUGUCCAGGCAAAUCCGGAUAAUCAAGGCUGAGGUGUGAUGACGAGGCACUACGGUGCUGAAGUAACAAAUGCCCUGCUUCCAGGAAAAGCCUCUAAGCAUCAGGUAACAUUAAAUCGUACCCCAAACCGACACAGGUGGUCAGGUAGAGAAUACCAAGGCGCUUGAGAGAACUCGGGUGAAGGAACUAGGCAAAAUGGUGCCGUAACUUCGGGAGAAGGCACGCUGGUGUGUAGGUGAAGUCCCUGCGGAUGGAGCUGAGACCAGUCGAAGAUACCAGCUGGCUGCAACUGUUUAUUAAAAACACAGCACUGUGCAAACACGAAAGUGGACGUAUACGGUGUGACGCCUGCCCGGUGCCGGAAGGUUAAUUGAUGGGGUUAUCCGUAAGGAGAAGCUCUUGAUCGAAGCCCCGGUAAACGGCGGCCGUAACUAUAACGGUCCUAAGGUAGCGAAAUUCCUUGUCGGGUAAGUUCCGACCUGCACGAAUGGCGUAAUGAUGGCCAGGCUGUCUCCACCCGAGACUCAGUGAAAUUGAACUCGCUGUGAAGAUGCAGUGUACCCGCGGCAAGACGGAAAGACCCCGUGAACCUUUACUAUAGCUUGACACUGAACAUUGAGCCUUGAUGUGUAGGAUAGGUGGGAGGCUUUGAAGCGUGGACGCCAGUCUGCGUGGAGCCAACCUUGAAAUACCACCCUUUAAUGUUUGAUGUUCUAACGUUGGCCCCUUACCGGGGUUGCGGACAGUGUCUGGUGGGUAGUUUGACUGGGGCGGUCUCCUCCCAAAGCGUAACGGAGGAGCACGAAGGUUAGCUAAUCCUGGUCGGACAUCAGGAGGUUAGUGCAAUGGCAUAAGCUAGCUUGACUGCGAGCGUGACGGCGCGAGCAGGUGCGAAAGCAGGUCAUAGUGAUCCGGUGGUUCUGAAUGGAAGGGCCAUCGCUCAACGGAUAAAAGGUACUCCGGGGAUAACAGGCUGAUACCGCCCAAGAGUUCAUAUCGACGGCGGUGUUUGGCACCUCGAUGUCGGCUCAUCACAUCCUGGGGCUGAAGUAGGUCCCAAGGGUAUGGCUGUUCGCCAUUUAAAGUGGUACGCGAGCUGGGUUUAGAACGUCGUGAGACAGUUCGGUCCCUAUCUGCCGUGGGCGCUGGAGAAUUGAGGGGGGCUGCUCCUAGUACGAGAGGACCGGAGUGGACGCAUCACUGGUGUUCGGGUUGUCAUGCCAAUGGCACUGCCCGGUAGCUAAAUGCGGAAGAGAUAAGUGCUGAAAGCAUCUAAGCACGAAACUUGCCCCGAGAUGAGUUCU